UACGGGGGGGGUAAGCGUUGUUCGGAAUUACUGGGCGUAAAGGGCUCGUAGGCGGCCAACUAAGUCAGACGUGAAAUCCCUCAGCUUAACUGGGGAACUGCGUCUGAUACUGGAUGGCUUGGAUUCGGGAGAGGACUGCGGAAUUCCAGGUGUAGCGGUGAAAUGCGUAGAUAUCUGGAGGAACACCGGUGGCGAAGGCGGCAUUCUGGACCGAUAUUGACGCUGAGGAGCGAAAGCCAGGGGAGCAAACGGG
rnacentral:rRNA from 1 species